UACGUAGGGUGCGAGCGUUGCCCGGAUUUAUUGGGCGUAAAGGGCGCGUAGGCGGGGCUUUAAGUCAGGGGUGAAAUCCUGGAGCUCAACUCCAGAACUGCCUUUGAUACUGAAGAUCUUGAGUUCGGGAGAGGUGAGUGGAACUGCGAGUGUAGAGGUGAAAUUCGUAGAUAUUCGCAAGAACACCAGUGGCGAAGGCGGCUCACUGGCCCGAUACUGACGCUGAGGCACGAAAGCGUGGGGAGCAAACAGG
rnacentral:rRNA from 1 species